rnacentral:ncRNA from 1 species
GUUGGUAGAGGCGCGGCACGCAAGAGUAACCCCCGGUCAUCGGCAAACGUACGGGGCGCGAAAGGGUCUGCCGCCGAAGUAUCGCGGAGACGCCGUGAACCGUGAUGCUGGGCCGUCGGGAAACACCCGCCGGACUGUCACAUUUAUGUGGAGCGCUAUCGGAU